GAGGUGAACAUCCAUAGUAUCAUACAAAUUUCUCAGCUGCCUCCUCCAAAACUGGCAUCAGCAGAAGAGCAAAAGAUGCUGGUCUUGCUAUGUUGCCCAGGGUAGUCUCAAACUCUUGGCCUCAAGCGAUCAUCCUGCCUCAGCCUCCCAAAGCAGUGGAAUUACAGGUGAGAGAAAUGAGGCAUGACAGAUAACUUGUAAGUUCUCGAAGUUUACAAUGGUAAAGCCAGGCCGGGUGCAGUGGCAUGCACCUGUAAUCACAGCAACUCAUGAGAUUAAAGCAGGAGGACCUCUUGAGCCCAGGAGUUUGAGGUUUCAGUGAGCUAUGAUCAUGCCACUGCACUCCAACCUGGGCAACAGAGCAAAACCCUGUCAAUCAAUCAAGCAAGCAGACAAGCAAGGAAGCAAGCAGCAGAGCCUCUGCAUGAGCUCAUGAAUGGCUGCUGUGGAAAAUUACUGACGUCACCAGCUGAAUAACAGGCUAUCUGGAGAGUAAGCAGAUGAAACUGAUGUUAAAUUAUCAAAUGUACAAGAUUUUGGGCUCCUGCCAAAACCUUCAUUGAGAACUAAGAAGAGAAAAACUGAAAACACACAGAGCUUUUUUUAAGCUUCUGAGCCAGCAGGCUGUUCCU
rnacentral:lncRNA from 10 species